AACGAACGCUGGCGGCGUGGAUUAGGCAUGCAAGUCGAACGAGAAAGGGACCUUGGGUCCUGAGUACAGUGGCGAACUGGUGAGUAACAGGUGGGCAACGUGCCCGUGAGUUGGGGAUAACAUUCAGAAAUGAGUGCUAAUACCGAAUGUGGCCAUGACCUCGUAGGGGGGACAUGACUAAAGAUUUAUCGCUCACGGAUCGGCCCGCCCCGGAUUAGCUUGUUGGUGAGGUAACGGCUCACCAAGGCAGCGAUCCGUAGGUGGCCUGAGAGGGUGGUCACCCACACUGGGACUGAGAUACGGCCCAGACUCCUACGGGAGGCAGCAGUCUAGAGGCUUCGGCAAUGGGGGAAACCCUGACCGAGCGACGCCGCGUGUGGGACGAAGGCCUUACGGUUGUAAACCACUGUCAGCAGGGAAGAAUGCCUGUAUGGACAAUACGGGAGAGACGGUACCUGCGGAGGAAGCCCCGGCUAACUACGUG
rnacentral:rRNA from 1 species